AAAAACCAGAAUAAUAUACAAGCAAGAUAAUAGUCUGAUGCUUCUCCAAUUUCGCAAUGCGCAGUUCUAUGAACCGUUCAAUUACAAAAAAAUUCGAAGCAAGUAUUAGUACAUUGAUGCUAGAACGCUAUUAGUCAAGCUGGGCAUACCAGACUCCUUGAAUUUUCACUUCCUUGGGGGCUUUUGACCCCAAAUCAGUAUCAGAUGGCUGAAUACUUUCAAAUACACCAAUCACCUCCCCUGUCUCGGGCUUGCUUUUGGUAACACUCAAGGUGAUCUUUCCUUUUGAAGAUGAAACAUUCUUUAUGUUCUCUUUCUCAAGCUCCUCCUCAUCUCCUCUUCCACCAGCUGGCAAUGCAACUGCAUUGUCAUAACCUGUAGAUCCACCCCUUCCCUUUGGGUCGAGGAAGGAUGAACCCCUGUAUGAUGGCACAAGGAACUCUCCACUGAAGCUAUCUGGUUUGCCAGAUGCUACAAGUUGUUUGAUGGUGAAGAGGAAGGGCACACGCUCACCACCAGGAAGCUGCACUGUAACGGCAGCAUAGUCAAUUCCAUCCUUCUCCUCAAACUUGACAGUGCCAUCCGGAGAUACCUCAAAGGGUCCCUCAAUCUCGUCAAGGGUGUAGGUUAAACGGGUCAUGAGCUUUGUAUUCUGGAAUUCAGGGGGUGCGUUCUUGUUCACACCCUCUGCCUUCACAGUAAAUGAAGUGGGUUCCAGGCAUAACUUCUUGGUAUUGUAUUUGCCUGGCUUGAAGGCAAAGCUGUCAACACCACCAUCAAUUGUUGGGCACUGGUUAGCAGUCCCAGUUCCCUUCACUUCUAGGUAUGUCUUGCUUUGAAUUUCAUCGUAGGUCAGCCGUUUUGGAGCUCCUUCAGCAUUUGCUCCCUGUAAGACCAACAAGGGUAUUUUAAAACUUUCCCCAUUGCAAUGAAAAUAUAUUCGUUGCCGUCUGCCUAAAUCAUAAUGUUUUGCAUUAUAAUAUUUUUUAAGUCAGACUUCACUAAAAUUUUCGGAAGAAACAUGGUGUUGACAGGCUUAUUACUGAUUGAAAUAAGCCAGAGAUCCAAUAGAAUUUGCUUGAGGCCCCCAUUACCAAAAUGUUCUCUCUUCUUGUAGUAUUCUAGAUCAUAAGCACAAUAGAAAAACUUUUACCUGGUUUUGAUUUGUUAAAUUAUCAGAUGUCCAAUGGAAUACAGUUCUUCUUUGGUCGAGAGUACACAAUUGAUAUUACGUGCAUCUAUCUUAUAAAUGGAGUAUACAAUACAAUAGACAUUACAAGGUCACCUCAUCAAACAUGCCAUUAAUGUGUUAGAAUGAUCUUUAUAAAGGUACAGAUAUAAGAAUCUCGGAGAGAGACUAAAAGUUACAUACCGAGACAACGAGUGCAGAAGUCGCUAGAGCAAAACCAGCAAUCUUGGCAGCAUCAGUGCACUUUUGAGCAAAGUCCUUUAGAUCAGCUUGAAGAGAGCAGGUGACCCUCGAUCCAGCCGGUUCAACACCGAAGGCCUUGCCGAGGCUUUGAACAGAUCUCAACUGUAGGCUAUUUCUGGCUGAGACACCAAUCUUGGUUGGUUGCAUCAGAGUAGCAGCUGCUUGUAAUG
rnacentral:lncRNA from 1 species